GCGUGCUAUACAUGCAAGUCGAGCGGACAGAAGGGAGCUGCUCCCGGAUGUAGCGGCGGACGGGUGAGUAACACGUGGGUAACUGCCUGUAAGACUGGGAUAACUCCGGGAAACCGGAGCUAAUACCGGAUAGUUCCCUGAACCGCAUGGUUCAAGGAUGAAAGACGGUUUCGGCUGUCACUUACAGAUGGACCGCGGCGCAUAGCUAGUUGGUGGGGUAAUGGCUCACCAAGGCGACGAUGCGUAGCCGACCUGAGAGGGUGAUCGGCCACACUGGGACUGAGACACGGCCCAGACUCCUACGGGAGGCAGCAGUAGGGAAUCUUCCGCAAUGGACGAAAGUCUGACGGAGCAACGCCGCGUGAGUGAUGAAGGUUUUCGGAUCGUAAAGCUCUGUUGUUAGGGAAGAACAAGUGCGAGAGUAACUGCUCGCACCUUGACGGUACCUAACCAGAAAGCCACGGCUAACUACGUGCCAGCAGCCGCGGUAAUACGUAGGUGGCAAGCGUUGUCCGGAAUUAUUGGGCGUAAAGGGCUCGCAGGCGGUUUCUUAAGUCUGAUGUGAAAGCCCCCGGCUCAACCGGGGAGGGUCAUUGGAAACUGGGAAACUUGAGUGCAGAAGAGGAGAGUGGAAUUCCACGUGUAGCGGUGAAAUGCGUAGAGAUGUGGAGGAACACCAGUGGCGAAGGCGACUCUCUGGUCUGUAACUGACGCUGAGGAGCGAAAGCGUGGGGAGCGAACAGGAUUAGAUACCCUGGUAGUCCACGCCGUAAACGAUGAGUGCUAAGUGUUAGGGGGUUUCCGCCCCUUAGUGCUGCAGCUAACGCAUUAAGCACUCCGCCUGGGGAGUACGGUCGCAAGACUGAAACUCAAAGGAAUUGACGGGGGCCCGCACAAGCGGUGGAGCAUGUGGUUUAAUUCGAAGCAACGCGAAGAACCUUACCAGGUCUUGACAUCCUCUGACAACCCUAGAGAUAGGGCUUUCCCUUCGGGGACAGAGUGACAGG
rnacentral:rRNA from 1 species